AAGGAUUUAAAGUGACUAAAUUUGAAAAAUAAAUUUUUAGAAUUUGUGAAGCAUGAUACAUAUUAUGAUUUUUUUAAACUAAAAAAUAAUUAUUAUUGUGAAUAAUUAGUCAUGUAAUGUAUAUCGAUUAUUUUAAACAAAUCAAUCAAAAAUUUAAAUAUAAAUAUCAAACAUACCUCCCAAAAGUAAUUAUUGAGCAUUUCUUGCGAUAGGGGCAAAUAUUUAUGCGCUCUGAAAUUUUCAAUACUAUGACGAAGUCCAAAACUACUGGUAUGUAUCCUGAAAAAAAAAAAAGAUAAUAUAUACAUUACAAACAGACCAAAUCAUUAAGCGUAAUUAUUUUCGAAUUUUGAAAUAAACUUACAUUUUGUAGAAAGAUUGUGCAUAAAGAUGAAAAAUAAACUUAUAUUUUCUAGAAAGAUUGUGCAUAAAGAUAGAAAAUAAGUCUUGCCUCCACCUAUCAUACAUAUGGAUAAUAAUAUUGAAACGGAAGGUGGUGAGAUGAUAUCUUGAGCAGUUACGUAUCUAGGACCCCUUACGCAAAUCAACGCGUCAAGGAAAAAGGGUAUCAUCAAGAUUUUGGGCCUAAAAAGAUGAUUUU
rnacentral:lncRNA from 1 species